CGCAGGUUCCCGAUCUCUGUUGGUACUCUCCGCUUCCUGGGUAUACGAGUCUCUCGGCGGUGGUUCCUGCGCCUUCGUAUCAGCAAUUUGCAGGGAGGACAUCGCGGGAUGAGACGCGACUCAGGCGUGUGUCUUCGAGAAGGAGAUUCUAGAGCUCCAGACAGCGUGCACGGUAACAGAUUUUCCAACCAAUUUCGAGGCCAAACCGUCGCGUCGCGCGAAACACUUCCGCGGCACUGUACACGAUUUCAGCGGUGAUUUCAGCGGAGAUUGACAUCCUGCAAUCCUGUUCCCACGGAUUCCAAUCCCGGAUUUAUUUAUCCGGCCGAAUUAUCAGACAUCGUCGUAUAUCGGCGUGAUACAGCUAAUGCGCACUAUCUUUCCUCAAUGAUCGAUAAGAUUAAAUGGCAGCAGGAGAAUGACAUUUAUCUGUGUGAGAAUGUGCUUACUUGACAUUUGGUGAAACUCGGGCACGUAUUGCUCGCUGUCCUCGGUCUCGGAGCUGCUACCUGCACAAAGGAGAUAUUUUUCAUGUUAGUUCAAGAUUUGCGAUCAAUUUAGCAGAAAUUACGUUUGUCGAGAUAGAAAACAAAAAAAAAUCCACCUGAAUAUCUAACGAAAAUGUCGAACUUCCGUCCCGCAGUAAAAUCAUCCCCCUUUGAUCAUCCGUUACAUUACGUCCAUCGCGUAUUACAUCGCAGUUGGGCAAGGUAAUUAAAAUUAAUGUUCCGAGUGAAUAGUAGCUGCACGUAAUUAUCUUCGCUGGCGGCUUAGGGCUUUAAUUUCAUACUACAUCUCUAAAUUCGAAAAAUCAAUAGCGAGAUUUCGCGACUUUAAUAACAUUUUGGUUUUUAUUAUAAAUCCACUUAUCGUUACCGUUCAAAGACAACCAAUAAUUUUAUUUGACGAAUAAUUUCAUGAUUAUAUCCACGCAUUCUACCUUAAUUUAUAUCGGCAUGAACAAAUAAAAUGUCUAUUUAUUAUCAGUACAGGGGAAAAAUUUUAAAUAAAUUUAGAGCCGGUUGUUCCAUCUCCAGAUAAAUCAGGUGAUAAAUUAUC